UAGAGACCCAAAAUUUCAUUUGGUUAAUGUUAAGCUGUGACAAAAUCCAGAAGUUUCCAAGUUAAGGAUGAAGUUUAACAAUGUCUGUCUUUUAUUUCAACUCAGAUCCAUAUGUGUAUGAGAAGAAGAGCAGUUAUAUUCCAGGAAAAAAAAAAAAAACAUUUAUCAUGGCCUUGAUGUGCUUUUACCUAGAGCUUUUACGUAAGUUAUUGGAUUUAGUUCUUCACAGCAAUUUUUAAGGUAGGUAUUAUCAGCUCUAUUUUUAGUUAAAAACCUGAAUAUCAGGGAUAUCAAGUAACUUGUCCAUGUUCCCAGGACCAGUAAGUAGUAGAGCCAAGAUCUGAACCCAGAUCUGCUGGCUCCAAAGCCUGGGUUCUUCCCUUGCACAAUGCUGACCAAAACCUACUAGCACAAUUUCAGUUUUUGCUCUCAUAUAUGUAAAGUAAAAGUAAGGCUGCUCCAUACAGAAUCUUAGUCUGUGUACUGUACAGCUCCAAGAGGUGCCAUGGAAUUGUGCAACCGAGGUGGCCUUUAGUAAAAACAUAGUAUGAUAUGGCUGUUCUGGGGGCUUUCCAGUCCUCUAAAUCCUCUAGGUAAGGUCUUUCCACAAGACAGUGGCAGGCAAUGGAAAAAGCAGCCCACUGAUGGAUUCCAGAAUUAUCUCAGCGUGGCAUAACAAAUGGGGCAUACAGAAGUGGGGAGAUGUGUGUGCUAAUUCUCAUGCUGAAAUUAAUUCACUGGCUCACCUGAACCUUAGGUUAGCAAAAGGUCCUCACUGGUUCAGUUUCCUCACCUGAGCAAUGAAUGAGAGUGGACUCAAUUACUGGAUUUCAAGAUUGCUUUUAGGUUGUAGAAAUCUUACGCAGAAAUGCAAUGCACAAAGCAGGCAAAUGCAAAGGUGGGGACUGGGAAGAAGGAACUUGGAGCCUGCUUACUCACUCAGCUCCCUCCUCCUUUCCAACCUGCACCUCUGAACACAGCUGGCCAAAGCUGGCACUUGAUGAUCUUUCCAUAUCUAAAAAUCCUAAUAUUUUAUAGUUCUGUGCAGAUUAUCCAUGUUCUGAGUAACUGCAGUGAAUUGCUCUCAGUGAAUUACCUAAACUGCUUGUGAGGGACCAAGUCUAGUGUGAGAGAAAUAUCUACACAGAGCAGAACACUGAAUGUGUCAGUGCCAAUGAAUAAUGCUUUAUCCAGUUGAGUUUCAACCUGAAACAUGAAACCCCAGCAGUGAGCCCAUCAGGGGUUCACUGGAAAAUACGUGCACAGCCAACCUCCAGAGCCCCACAAUGGGUUUUGUUGUGUAGCAAUGGGGGUGAGGGGGGAAAGGAGGAGGAGGGAAUCCAAGGGAACAAUGUCUAUUGCUUCAGCCAAAGGACUUAAUAAUUAGCUGUGACUAACAAAUACCACAUGGGAACCAACUUGUAAAAAAAUGUCCCACAAAGCACCCUAUUGCCAGUGGGCCAAUUUGAGCCUGCAACCUCUCCCCUUCUAGGGAGAGAUUAGAAAACUAGAAGGAAGGAGAGCAACUCCAUCUGCCUGAAGCCACUGGACCAAAGACUCAGAUGGAUGGAAGCUGGGGAUGCUUUCAAAGCACCCUCCCCCUUGCUCUUGAAAUUGUAAGCACUUGGCCUCCCUGGGCUGAAAUUCCAGGGGCAGGGGCUAAGGGAGUUAACAUAGGCAGAACUUACUCCAAACAAUGUCAAUACAAAACAGGUUUUCUUUAUGGAAGCAAGUUAGGACGAAAUCGCUGAAAAGGUCAUCUGUGUUUGCAGUACACAGUACGGUGGUGCAGGCAGAAGGGAGGUGCCAAGCCAUAAAUCCAGGGAGGCUUGGACAGGUGAAUAGCAAUUUACUCCCCCACAAACUUCAGUGGGGGCUGGGUGCGUCCUAGGAAAGCAGGAUUUGGAAACAGGAAGUUGGUGCCUGUUAUCCUCAGGUGGGCUACUCAGGGUCACAGCCCUGGUGUUACAAAUCAACGUCCACAAAUUUUCAAUGCACAGACAGGUCCUGAGCUGGCUGCAUCAAAAAGACUUGGGUUCUUAUUACUAUAGUCUUCUGGGCACCUUCUGCAGGGAUUACAGCUUGGAAGCCUUGGGGCAGCUGUGCUCGGAUUUGGCACAGAAGCUGUGAAGGGGAAAGUGCAAAGAUCACAUAGCACCCAGACUUUAGGAGCUGGCAGGUUGGCUGUGCCAGUUAGCGUAACGAGCACCUGCAGGCUCUUUAAAAGUUAGCCAUUCUUAUUUUGAAGGCAACGGUUAAGAGCAUGGAUUAUGGAGUCAAACAGACCCAAGUUCAAGUUCCAGACUGGCCAAUUAUUGGCUUCUCUGGACUUCAGUUUUUACAAAUAAAAACAGAAUGUUUGCCUAUGUGGAUAAAGUGAAUGAACUUUUGUAAAAUUUUUGGCACAGAGGGUUAAUGUACAGCUUUUAAUUUACAUAUGAUAUAUAUUAACACAUACAUGUAUGUGUGUGUACAUAUAUACAUACACAGAGAGAAUUGCUCACAUUAUUUUUUUCUUCCUAGAAUUUCCCAAGCCAUGGUCCAUCAAAUCAUAGACCCUCCUGCUCCAGACUUUUGAAAGUCCCCAAUGCAUAGGCAAGCAUUUCUAGAUGGCUAGACAGAGCCUGAUUUCCUCUGGCUGAUUACUUAUUAAAAGGUACUUCCUCAGUUCACUUUUGAGUGGAAGUUUUUCAGAAAGCCAUUCGCUCACUCGCUCACUUGCUCGCUCCCUCACUGGCUCAGUCUUGCAUGGACAAUCCUGUGGAAUGCAAGAGCACAGGGCAAAACGGUUAGUCAAGGCUGCUUAGCCAGCUAGUACAGGUGGUCAGAUUUUGACAAGAUCUUAAAUUGGGGAAGUUCAGACAAGCGGUUACUUUGGGUCCUUGGAAUAUUUAUAAUAGGGGGUGAAGAGAGGUUCACCGAAGGAAUUGACAAGCUACUAAUUAAUGCCAUCACUGCUGCCUGGCACCUCUAUUAAGCAAAACUCAGAAACCGGGAGCCAAUUUUCACAUACGCUUUCUUUUCUAAAUGGUAGCCCUUCUGAAUUGCAACCUUCUUCACGCCUGGCACUCCCAGCCGCCAUCGGCCCCUCUCCGACUGCACAUCACACCAGGUCCAAGAGAAGCUAAUUUAACCACCGCUGGUUAAAAUCAUACUGCACUUCACAGCGCCUUUCACAUGCCAUGAAGCUGUCAUGAUAAUUCUUGAUCUCUAGCUCACCUGACAGCUCAGCCCUCCCUUGACUGCAAAGCUUCCCCGUCAGUUAGAAAUAGCAGUUUUCCUGGCACCAGAUGUGUCAUCUUGAAUAUCCAGAUGAAAGGCAGACACCUGGCCCCUGCUCCCUCCCCUCCCUGCCUCGUUUUCCCUUCUUAGCUCUGGAUUUUGUUUAGGAAGGCCAUGUACCACCCCACCCCCAACUCCCAAGUCCCUCCUCUGGGCAGCCUGGAAGUUCCUCUUCUGCACAAUUCAAAAGAUGUCUUGCAUUAGCCCACAGAGCAACUUCACACCUUGUGCAGCAAAGAGACACACACACACCAAUUGACAUCGCUAGGAGAGGGAAGGAAAACUUAACAUCAGGGCAAGAUUUCCACCCCUUUGCAGCUGCUUGGGAAGCCUGGCUAGCCCAAACCACCAGCCCAGCUGCCUCCAAAGGGUAGUGCUGGCUUCUCUCUCACCAGCUGUCUGAUCCCAUCUCUUCACUACGACUUUGUAGCUUGGUCUUUCGUUAUGAGAUCCUUGGGAUGAAAAGAGAUAUUGUUUUGAUAAAGGGCAGGCCUGGGUGAAUAAUGUGGUCUGUGUGUCAUGGACAGGAAAGGAACAAAUUGUGCCUGAGGUGGUCACCUGAGCCCCAUGAGCUACUCAUGGGGGCUUCUUAAACCCAGGCAGCACACGUGGACAUCUUUACAAACACACCCGCUGUGUCCCUUUUUUGUAACUAAUAAAGAACAAGUGUCAGCAUUAAGCCUCUGUUACCGAUUUUCUUUUCCUCUGCUGGAAAGGAGGUGGUGUAAGCAGAGUUUACUGUAGAAACCAAGAAACAAAAGACAACAUGACCAGUUUUCGAACUUGGCGUGCUCUGAAUUAUUAAAAAUAAUCUUAUAGUGUCCGCCCAGCCCUCUCAAGCAUACCUGCCUUUAAUCUUGUAAACAAGUUCAUAGCAGGAAGGGGAAUAUUUUCAAUCUGUUUCCUUCUACAUGGCUGUAAGAAACAUGACGCCCAUCCAUCAUGCAAAGAGAGCCUGACGAGGCAGAGGAAAGAUCAUGGCAGGACUUCUGUCUUGGUGGACAGGGCAUUAUCAAGGGGAUAUACAGUUGGGGAGCAUUUUACUAGCAAGAAAGCCUGCUACCUGCAAAAUAGACCCAAAGGGGACAAUUGAUAAGUGGACAAUAAAAUACCAUACAGCCAUUAAACAUAAGGUCAAUUGGAAACUCAAUGAGUCUGGCUCACUACUGUGUCCCCAUCACCUGGCACAGAGAAGAUGUGUAUUUGUCAGCUGAAUUAAGAAUGAAUGUUCAUGAAGAGUUUAAAAAUUAUUCAAUGUAAAACUCUCCAGAUGGCUAAAUGCAAGUGGAGCAUGGAUGGAAGAAUUUGGAGAAUUCAACAUCUACUUCGACUCUACUUUUUCUAAGAUGUAGGAUGUGGAUACCAAAGAAUUGAGUAGAUCUGUCACAAAGCAAUGGAAGAUGACAUUUGAUAUGGGUGGGCCAACUGCGAAUAAAAAGAAGACGUUCACUUGGGAGAUAGAAAAGAGAAGUUCUAGUCAUGACUUUUCCAAUUUACUUGCUAUAUAACCUUGAAUAAGUACCCUCUCUGAAUUCCUGUCUCCUUACCUGUGGAAUGAAGACAAAAAUUCCUAAGGCUCUAGCAAGAUUGUCAAACAAAGGCCUAUAUGUGUGAGUUGCAAAUAAAAGGAAAGCACCUUCUGAUAAGUGUCUUCUAAUUCCCAUGUCAUUUCUUGUCCCUGUGGCCUGUUUGUGCUGUUUGAAAGCUCGGGGGAAUUGGAAUAAGUGACAAGGAGGUCAGAUGUAAGUUAAAGUGUUAGCCCCCAUUUAUCUACCAUUUUGGCUCUAAACGACUAGUUUCAGUCCAGACCGAUUUAGUAAAGUGAGAAAACUGUGACUGCAAACUGGCAGUACACACAAUCAGAGGAAUGAGUAAAAAGCUUAGACUGCCCUUCAAUUCAGAGGUUAAAGCAAGCACACAGACCCGGUGUCUCCCUCACUGUGUGCCAGCCAACCAUAUAUUAUUAAUUGGGCUCAACAAACAUUAUUGAGCACCUUCUACUGCAAAACUCUGGCAGGGCGCUCUGGGGAGAUCUAAAUGCAAUGUGAGGCAAUGCCCCACUCUUCACCAACCUGCCAUCUGGUUGGGAUAACAAGAUCAUCACAGGCAAAACUGUUCUCCCAUAUCUCUGCCCAUUAAAAUUUCACUGAGCCCUCAAGGCUCAAUUCAUAAUUAGAUUUUCCCCAAGAAGCUUUCCCCAAUCCCCUCAGCCCUUUGUUUAAUCCUCAUUUCUGGAAUUUGUCAUGCUCUGCAUUAUAACUUGCUUGUGUGUG
rnacentral:lncRNA from 10 species